GUGUCAUGCUCUCCUUCCUAUUCCCUCAUUGUGAGUUUGUGUCGUGCUCUCCCUCCUAUCCCCUCUGUGUGUGCGUGGGGGUGUCUCUCUCCCAUCCCCUCGGUGUGUGUGUGGGGGUCUCUCUCUACCAUCCCCUCAGUGUGUGUGUCUGGGCGUCUCUCUCUCCCAUCCCCUCGGUGUGUGUGAGUGGGUCUCUCUCUCCCAUACCAUCGGUGUGAGUGGGUCUCUUUCUCCCAUCCCCUCGGUGUGAGUGGGUCUAUCUCCCAUCCCCUCGGUGUGAGUGGGUCUCUCUCCC